GAUGAACGCUGGCGGCGUGCUUAACACAUGCAAGUCGAACGGAAAGGCCCAAACUUGCUUGGGUACUCGAUUGGCGAACGGGUGAGUAACACGUGGGUGAUCUGCCCUGCACUUCGUGAUAAACCUUGGAAACUGGGUCUAAUACCGGAGAGGACCACAUGUUGGGUGGUGUGGUGGAAAGUAUCUCGGUGUGGGAUGAGCUCGCAGCCUAUCAGCUUGUUGGUUGGGUAAUGGCCUACCAAGGCGUCGACGGGUAGCCGGCCGGAGAGGGUGUACGGCCACCUUGGGACUGCGGUACGGAGCAGUAUCCUAUGGGAGGCAGCAGUGGGGAAUAUUGCACAAUGGGCGCAAGCGUGUUGCAGAGACGUCGCGUGGGGGAUGACGGCCUUCGAGUUGUAAACUCAUUUCGAUCGAGCCGAAGCGCACUUGACGGUACCUGAUGAGAAAGCCCCGGCUAACUACGUG
rnacentral:rRNA from 1 species